UAAUGUAUGUACAUCUGAUAGUUGUGU
rnacentral:piRNA from 1 species